rnacentral:rRNA from 1 species
UACGUAGGGCGCAAGCGUUAUCCGGAAUUAUUGGGCGUAAAGAGCUCGUAGGCGGUUUGUCGCGUCUGCCGUGAAAGUCCGGGGCUCAACUCCGGAUCUGCGGUGGGUACGGGCAGACUAGAGUGAUGUAGGGGAGACUGGAAUUCCUGGUGUAGCGGUGAAAUGCGCAGAUAUCAGGAGGAACACCGGUGGCGAAGGCGGCUCACUGGCUCAUAUCUGACGCUCAGGCGCGACAGCGUGGGGAUCAAACAGG